rnacentral:tRNA from 1 species
GGGAAUGUGGCUUGAUGGUAGAGUGCUUGCCUUACAUGCAUGAAGCCCUGGGUUCUAUUCCCCAGUACUA